GCGAAAUAAAAAUUCCAAAAAACAGAAAGCUAAAAUCGAUUUGGGGAUUUCACUUCAGCCUUUUGUCUCCGUCUCUUCUCUCUUUUGCCUGAGGAGGUGUUCGAAGCACCUCUUCGGAUUUAUUUGAUUUCUCUCUGUUUCUCUGGGAUUUGAAUUACCUUCCCAAUGGCGUCCGAAAUCUCAAACGACAAGACCGCUGUUUUCAGAAAACUGAAAGCAAGGUCAGAAAACAAGAUGUGUUUCGAUUGUAAUGCAAAGAACCCGACUUGGGCGUCGGUUACAUAUGGGAUCUUUCUCUGCAUCGAUUGCUCGGCCGUUCAUCGCAGUCUCGGCGUUCAUAUCAGCUUUGUUAGAUCUACAAAUUUAGACUCGUGGACUCCUGAACAGCUGAGAACGAUGAGCUUCGGGGGGAAACAACCGUGCACAAGUUUUCUUUAAGCAGCAGCAUGGAUGGACGGAUGGAGGCAAAAUUGAGGCUAAGUAUACAUCAAGAGCUGCCGAGUUGUAUAGGCAAAUACUUUCUAAAGAAGUUGUCAAAAGUAUGGCAGAAGAGGCAGGUCUUCCACCAUCACCUGUUACAUCUCAGUCAGGACAAGCAUCUAAUGGGAUUCUUGAUGUUAAGACCCAGGAAGCUCCAAAAGAGAACUCUAUAGCAAGGAAAGAAACGCCUGAAAUCGCUGCUUCCCAGAAAGCCCCCCAUACAUAUGUUACCAGUACUGUUAAGAAGCCUCUUGGUGGUGCUAAGAAAAUUGGGAAGACUGGGGGUCUUGGUGCUCGCAAACUUACUACAAAGCCAAAUGAAAGCCUGUACGAUCAGAAACCUGAAGAUCCAGUUGUCCCACUGCCAGUGUCUUCCUCAACUAACAGCACUCCAACAGCUGGAUCAUCCUUUGCAUCUCGCUUUGAGUAUGUAGAAAUUGUCCAAAAUACUGAGACAAAUCCCACUGGCGCUCAUGUAAUUAGCCAUAUUGCUCCACCAAAGUCAUCAAAUUUCUUUGCAGAUUUUGGAAUGGACAGUAACUUUCCCAAGAAAACUAGUUCAAAUACCUCAAAAGUUCAAAUUCAGGAGUCUGAUGAAGCAAGAAAGAAAUUCACAAAUGCAAAAUCUAUCUCUUCCGCACAAUUUUUUGGUGACCAAAGCAGAUCUGCUGAUGUUGAUGCUCAAACCUCCUUGCAGAAGUUCUCGGGUUCUGCAGCCAUCUCCAGCGCUGAUCUAUUUGGUGACAGGGGAGAUAAUUCAGCUAUUGAUCUUACUGCAAGCGACCUAAUCAACCGACUGUCGUUUCAGGCACAACAGGAUCUCUCUUCCUUAACGAAUAUCGCGGGAGAGACCGGGAAGAAGCUUAGUUCCUUGGCGUCCAAUUUAAUGACGGAUCUUCAGGACAGAAUCCUGUGAUGUUGAUAUGCUGUGUGUCCAUUUGUUAAAGCGUAUGUAGGGAUUGCAAGGAGGGGUUGAUGAAAUUCUUUCAAAGAAGGCAAGACUUGACGAAAAUUCUCGAGGCCUAAGAGUGGCGGGUUGGCGGGUGAUUUUUUUCGUAGAACAGGAAACUAUUAUUGUUCUGAGAUUGUGGAGUAUAUGUGCUCUUGUUUUUGUAAACCACCGUAACAUUACUGCUUUGUGUCAAGCGAGCAACGCGAGAAUACUGUAUUCUCUUAAAACUGUGAAUUUGUCCCUACCCAAUUUUAAUUCAAUCUCGAAUACGGGUCCCUUGCAAGGAACGUGUCGUUGAA